GUGUCACGAAUUUCAUUGUUACUUCUGCUUAACUAAAAUAAAGCAACAUGGACGUCAUAAAACUGUUGAAUAUGAACAUGUAAACACCAUGUCAAAAUCAGUUCCACAUUCACUCUUAGUUAAAUAUCCUGUUUGCCCCAAAAGAAGAAAUAGAAUUAGUGAAUCACCCGAGAAUUAGUAGAAAUACUGAAGAGGAAAAAAGUUAAAAUUUGUUGUGUACAGAAAACUAAGUGGAAAAGAGAAAAAUCGAAGGAAACAGACGAAAAUGAAGCUCACUUCUUACGUUUGGCGCAAAUGUAUAUGUUUGACUUAAAUGAAUGCGAAGAAUCUUUGUUACUGGCAGAGUUCAAAUUAUGGAAAAUACGUUUAGAAAAUAUUAAAUCAUCAAAUACACCAAGAAUUGCCAUGGAAGCAAUAGUUUUAUGCAAUAGCCAAAUUUAUCCAAAUGUAUUUAAACUCUUACAGAUUUUUGCAACUUUACCAGUAUCAACUGCAUCUAAUGAGAGGUCGUUUUCUAAUUUGAAAAGAAUAAAGACAUACUUGCGAAACACAAUGUCACAAGGGCGGUUUAAUGGUUUGGCUAUGCUAGCCAUUAACAUAGAAGUUGGCAUUGAUACCAGUGAAGUAAUUGAUAAUCUAAGUAAAAAGAAGAGACGCCUAGAUCUUAUAUUAUAAAUUUAGUUUUUAAGUUCAAAAAUUGUUAAUUUUACUAUAAUCUUUAAAAUAUAAAAAUAUAAGAAAUAAAGAUCAUGAAAUAUUAAAAUAGAUCUUAAUAUCGUUGUAUCUUCAC